rnacentral:rRNA from 1 species
AGAAUUGAUCUCGGUCAGGACGAACGCUGGCGGCGUGCUUAACACAUGCAAGUCGAGCGAUGAAGCUUCUUCGGAAGUGGAUUAGCGGCGGACGGGUGAGUAACACGUGGGUAACCUGCCUCAUAGAGGGGAAUAGCCUUCCGAAAGGAAGAUUAAUACCGCAUAAGAUUGUAAUAUCGCAUGAUAUAGCAAUUAAAGGAGUAAUCCGCUAUGAGAUGGACCCGCGUCGCAUUAGCUAGUUGGUGAGGUAACGGCUCACCAAGGCGACGAUGCGUAGCCGACCUGAGAGGGUGAUCGGCCACAUUGGGACUGAGACACGGCCCAGACUCCUACGGGAGGCAGCAGUGGGGAAUAUUGCACAAUGGGGGAAACCCUGAUGCAGCAAACCGCCGCGUGAGUGAUGACGGUCUUCGGAUUGUAAAGCUCUGUCUUCAGGGACGAUAAUGACGGUACCUGAGGAGGAAGCCACGGCUAACUACGUGCCAGCAGCUGC